CACUGCAGAAAAUACCUUUGCAGAUGCAGCACCUGAGAGCACACACCAACCGCCUCAUGUGCUUUUCUGCCGGGAAUCCCUGGGGUGAACGAAUGUUUUAUGGGCGUUUCCAGGAGCGUGUGUGCACUUCCAGAUGGGGAGCUGGGGGCGGGGGUAGCAGCAGCAGCUCUAGCCUUGGGGAGACGAGCCUCUCUCAGCCACCCCAGGGGACAAGAGAGUUAAGGACAUUCACCCCCACCCACGCACACACAGAAGGCAGCGUCAAGUGGGAGAGAGAAGGCCCUUUCUCCUUCUGUAGCCUGGGUCUCCGAUGGGCCUUCCCCGGUGCUGAGCAAGACACCAGUUGCCGGGUGAAGGGCCACAGCGGGCCAGCCCCGACCCUGUCGUGACCCACCUGGGCACCUUCCCAGACCGGCUCCGCCCCCCCUGCCCUCCUGUCUCUAGGAAGGAGGCAGAACAUGCACCCCUCUCCCACCCUCCCCAGGGGUAACCCCAGGCCAAGCACAGAUAGCUCAGCUGUGACCUCUGGCCUCUGGGGACAUAUACGGGGCGGCUGGGCCAGGGCGGAAGGUGCUCCUCUUUCCCUCCUUCUGCGUGCUAACUUUGACGGGCGGGCCACCGUGUCCGAGGCACAAUGCUAGGCCUCCAGGCCACGCAUCCAUCUCCAAGUUAACAGCCCCUGUCCUGCCCAAGCUCUGGGGCAGGUAGGAGACGGCCAUCACACACCUGCCCGUGCGUGAGUGACACGGGAGGGGGCUUCCGGGCGCAGGUGGAGCCACCACGCCUUUCCUCAAGGGGUCACUUAUUAAAAAGUCCACGGCCUGAGGCCCGGCCCUCUGCACAGAAGCCAUAUGCCGGCCAGCCGCGCCUCCUCCUCUGUCCACGGAACCGUUGCCGAUCUAAUCUUUCUAAAGACCUGUGUCCUGUUUCCAGCCGCCGCCUGUGGUUCUAGCAGGUUCUAUGCCAUCUGCAUUGGGAUGUCUGGUUGUUUUUAUUUCUGACUUUUUUAAAAUUCCAGGUGUGCCGCACCCACUUUCUCGCAGUGUUUUAAUAUUGUGUGGAGUUGUUGAUACAACGUGAAUUCAUACACAAUAAAAAGCGUCACUCUCCCUUUUC